GACAGAGGGUGCAAACGUUGUUCGGAUUUACUGGGCGUAAAGCGCGUGUAGGCGGCUUUGCAAGUCGGAUGUGAAAUCCCACGGCUCAACCGUGGAAGUGCAUCCGAAACUGCAUCGCUCGAGUCUCGGAGAGGAAGGUGGAAUGCUUGGUGUAGAGGUGAAAUUCGUAGAUAUCAAGCAGAACACCUGCGGCGAAGGCGGCCUUCUGGAGGAUGACUGACGCUGAGACGCGAAAGCGUGGGGAGCAAACAGG
rnacentral:rRNA from 1 species